UUAUCCAGCACACCAAUUCCCCCCGUUUCUGGAUGUACCCCUAAACCACUUUAAAUUAUACAUCCCCUGGUAGUCCUGAUCUGGGUGAACAACAUAUCCAAAAAUCACCCAGAUCAGACCAGGGGUUCGGGAAAUUCAUGGAGGGAAUAAAAUGGCCGACCGCACUGGAAGGAAUAGCCGAAUUGGGCUCCAUGCGAUGGGGCCCUGCGGUCGGUC